UACAGGGGGUGCAAACGUUGCUCGGAAUCAUUGGGCGUAAAGCGCACGUAGGCGGUUCGUUAUGUCGGAUGUGAAAGCCCUUGGCUUAACCGAGGAAGUGCAUCCGAAACUGGCGAGCUAGAGUACGAAAGAGGAUCGCGGAAUUCCCGGUGUAGAGGUGAAAUUCGUAGAUAUCGGGAGGAACACCGGUGGCGAAGGCGGCUGCCUGGCCUGUAACUGACGCUGAGACGCGAAAGCGUGGGGAGCGAACCGG
rnacentral:rRNA from 1 species